rnacentral:rRNA from 1 species
AGCGUAGACGGUGUGGCAAGUCUGAUAGUGAAAGGCAUGGGCUCAACCUGUGGACUGCAUUGGAAACUGUCAUACUUGAGUGCCGGAGGGGUAAGCGGAAUUCCUAGUGUAGCGGUGAAAUGCGUAGAUAUUAGGAGGAACACCAGUGGCGAAGGCGGCUUACUGGACGGUAACUGACGUUGAGGCUGAAAGCUGGGGAGCAAACA